rnacentral:lncRNA from 1 species
GACCGCACACUUACAUGGUUAAACUUAAGGUUCACUUCUCUACUACUGACAUACAAAUUUUUAAAUCCUCUUCAUCCCAAGAGGGCGAGGCUGGAGAUAGCGAUGUUGAGUUUUGGUUUGGUUCCACUAACCCAGAACCAACCAAUGCUUAUUAGAGAAACCUCUCACCCAGGUCUGGCAGCAUUUCACCAAAGAAGCAAAAUCCAAGGUACAGGAUUGUUCAUCAUCGACUGUUGGGCCCAGUCGUUGAAACCAUAGGCGACCCUCGAGCCUCCUACUCUUCGAUAGUCUCUGGGUACCUUAAGUGAGCCACCCUACUAGCUGAUCUACUCAUGAACCUACGGCUCCUAGUCUAUAAAUCCCUAAUAAGAUUAUGAAAAUUGUCAUCACACCUAAGCCACAGGCACCGUCCCCUCUCAUUUUGAAUUCAAACAGAAUAGAUACUUUAAUGGAUGCCUAUUCCGAUAGCUUUGCACC